AUUGAACGCUGGCGACAUGCCUUACACAUGCAAGUCGAACGGCAGCACGGGAGCAAUCCUGGUGGCGAGUGGCGAACGGGUGAGUAAUACAUCGGAACGUGCCCAAUCGUGGGGGAUAACGUAGCGAAAGUUACGCUAAUACCGCAUACGAUCUACGGAUGAAAGCGGGGGACCGCAAGGCCUCGCGCGAUUGGAGCGGCCGAUGGCAGAUUAGGUAGUUGGUGGGGUAAAGGCCUACCAAGCCUCCGAUCUGUAGCUGGUCUGAGAGGACGAUCAGCCACACUGGGACUGAGACACGGCCCAGACUCCUACGGGAGGCAGCAGUGGGGAAUUUUGGACAAUGGGCGAAAGCCUGAUCCAGCAAUGCCGCGUGCAGGACGAAGGCCUUCGGGUUGUAAACUGCUUUUGUACGGAGCGAAACGGCUUUCACUAAUACUGGGGGCUAAUGACGGUACCGUAAGAAUAAGCACCGGCUAACUACGUGCCAGCCGCCGCGGUAA
rnacentral:rRNA from 1 species